rnacentral:rRNA from 1 species
GGCGCGCCCUUCGUUCUCUGAUUAAAAGUGGAGCUUAACUCCAUCGUGGCAGUGGAAACUGUUGGGCUACAUUUUGGUAGGGGCAGAGGGAAUUCCCGGUGUAGCGGUCAUAUGCGUAGAUAUCGGGAAGAACACCAGUGGCGAAGGCGCUCUGCUGGGCCAUAACUGACGCUCAUGGACGAAAGCCAGGGGAGCGAAAGGGAUUAGAUACCCCUGUAGUCCUGGCCGUAAACGAUGAACACUAGGUGUCGGGGGAAUCGACCCCCUCGGUGUCGUAGCCAACGCGUUAAGUGUUCCGCCUGGGGAGUACGCACGCAAGUGUGAAACUCAAAGGAAUUGACGGGGGCCCGCACAAGCGGUGGAGUAUGUGGUUUAAUUCGAUGCAACGCGAAGAACCUUACCAGGGUUUGACAUCCUGCGAAUCUCCUGGAAACGGGAGAGUGCCUUCGGGAACGCAGUGACAGGUGGUGCAUGGCUGUCGUCAGCUCGUGUCGUGAGAUGUUGGGUUAAGUCCCGCAACGAGCGCAACCCACGUCUUUAGUUGCCAGCAUUCAGUUGGGCACUCUAGAGAGACCGCCGGUGAUAAACCGGAGGAAGGUGUGGAUGACGUCAAGUCAUCAUGCCCCUUACAUCCUGGGCUACACACGUACUACAAUGCUACGGACAAAGGGCAGCAAACUCGCGAGAGCUAGCAAAUCCCAUAAACCGUGGCUCAGUUCAGAUCGUAUGCUGCAACUCGCCUACGUGAAGGAGGAAUCGCUAGUAAUCGCAGGUCAGCAUACUGCGGUGAAUACGUUCCCGGGCCUUGUACACACCGCCCGUCACACCAUGGAAUGUGGCCACGCCCGAAGCCGUACUUCCACCCUUGUGGAGGAGGACGUCGAAAGUGGGGCUGAUGACUGGGGUGAAGUCUAACAAGGUAC